UUUCUUUGCCUCUCACCCACCACCUUCCUCCUUUCUCUGCCAUGGCAGAAAAAAGUUUUGGCAUUUUUCUCCAUUUUAACAAACGCUUGACCUUCAUAUCACAAGGCAGAGAUCAUAUAUCCAUUCCAAGAAAACCUUUGUGAGGGUAAAAACAAAACGAUUCAGGGAUGGCUGACAAAGCGAUUCAAAUUUAUUUCUUGUUUCCAUUAUAGAAUAAGGCAAGGUAAAAGGUUUACAUUUUUACUUGAUGCAUUUUCACCAUAUUCGGCAUCAAGACCUCUGUCCCCUCGAUUUUCUCUUCCAUGUUGCCUCAGAUCUACCAAAGAAGCCAUUUUGAAACCCAAGAAUUGAGCUUAAAUCUUGCCCAAAACGUCCUAGAACCCUAAUCCUAUUCUAUAAAUAAAAAGUUUUUGGGGGGCCGCCACUUCUCUCUUUGAAAGCAUUAUCUUCUCAUCAUUUUUUCUCAAGGCACUUAGUAUUCAUUUCCUUCUUAUCUCGGAUCUGAGCAUCAUUCGUUUUCGAGGGUGAGUCGGAGAUCCAAAGCCCCUGCACCUCAAAAGACCUGCGAGCUCGAGAAGUAGACGUUGGACAUUAGAUAGAGUUCAAGGUAGACAGGGAGGUGAGCUUGAUCCAGAUUCUUAGUAGCUGUCAGCUGAUUGAGAGCACUCCAUUGUUCGGAGGUGCUUAUGUUUAUUCUUUUGGGUCCUUUAUGUAUUUCGCGCACGACGGAGUCUUGUUCCGUCUAUAUGUAAAAUAUGUUAGUAAAGGCUCGUAGACGCGUAGUGUGGGUUAGAUGGUCUCACAAGAUUACUAUGUUAUAUUUGUAUAUGUUAUUUUGAUGGCCUAAGGGGCACAUGUAUAUAUAAUCAUUUGUGUUGUCAAAUGAAAAAUGGUUGUCUUAUGAUUAUGAGAUUAUGAAUGAUAAAGAAAUGCAAAAUGGUUAUGACGA